AUUGAACGCUGGCGGCAUGCCUAAUACAUGCAAGUCGAGCGGAUGAAGGGGGCUCUCUCCUCUCUUCCGCUACCGACGGGCGGGUAAGUCCUACGUAUCUACCUGAUCUAUAGGACUAACGUCACUAAACGGGCGCUGAGCUCGCAUACGUUCUCAUGUUGAACGGGAUGGAUCUUCAGUCCUCGCGCUAUCUGAUGUCCCUAGGUCGUAUUAGCUAGUUGGAUGGGUAACGGCUUACCAAGGCGACGAUCCGUAACUGGCCUGAGAGGAUGAUCGGCCACACUGGAACUGAGACACGGUCCAGACUCCUACGGGAGGCAGCAGUGGGGAAUCUUCCACAAUGGGCGAAAGCCUGAUGGAGCAAUGCCGCGUGAGUGAAGAAGGUCUUCGGAUUGUAAAACACUUUAAGUUGGGAAGAAGGGAAGUAUGUGUAUACAUUCAUGUUUUGACGUUACCUAAAGAGAAAGCCACGGCUAACUUCGUG
rnacentral:rRNA from 1 species